rnacentral:rRNA from 1 species
UACGGGGGGGGCAAGCGUUGUUCGGAAUUACUGGGCGUAAAGGGCUCGUAGGCGGCCAACUAAGUCAUACGUGAAAUCCCUCGGCUUAACCGGGGAACUGCGUCUGAUACUGGAUGGCUUGAGGUUGGGAGAGGGAUGCGGAAUUCCAGGUGUAGCGGUGAAAUGCGUAGAUAUCUGGAGGAACACCGGUGGCGAAGGCGGCAUCCUGGACCAAUUCUGACACUGAGGAGCGAAAGCCAGGGGAGCAAACGGG